GACGAACGCUGGCGGCGUGCCUAACACAUGCAAGUCGAGCGGGAUCCAUCUGGUGGCAACACCGGGGAAGAUCUAGCGGCGAACGGGUGAGUAACACGUGAGAAACCUGCCCCGAACUUCGGGAUAGCACGGGGAAACCCGUGCUAAUACCGAAUACCCUCUACCGGUCGCAUGGCCGGAAGCGGAAAGAUUCAUCGGUUCGGGAGGGUCUCGCGGCCUAUCAGCUAGUUGGCGGGGUAACGGCCCACCAAGGCAUCGACGGGUAGCUGGUCUGAGAGGACGAUCAGCCACACUGGGACUGAGACACGGCCCAGACUCCUACGGGAGGCAGCAGUGGGGAAUCUUGCGCAAUGGGCGAAAGCCUGACGCAGCAACGCCGCGUGCGGGAUGAAGGCCUUCGGGUUGUAAACCGCUUUCAGCAGGGAAGAAAAUGACGGUACCUGCAGAAGAAGCCCCGGCCAACUACGUGCCAGCAGCCGCCGUAA
rnacentral:rRNA from 1 species